UACAGAGGGGGCAAGCGUUAUUCGGAAUUAUUGGGCGUAAAGGGCGCGUAGGCGGCUUUGCAAGUGACGGGUGAAAGCCCUCGGCUUAACCGAGGAACUGCCUGUCAGACUGUGAGGCUUGAGACCGGGAGAGGUGAGUGGAAUUCCUGGUGUAGCGGUGAAAUGCGCAGAUAUCAGGAGGAACACCGGUGGCGAAGGCGGUUCUCUGGGCAUUACCUGACGCUGAGGAGCGAAAGUGUGGGGAGCGAACAGG
rnacentral:rRNA from 1 species